rnacentral:rRNA from 1 species
GUAGGGGGCGAGCGUUAUCCGGAUUUAUUGGGCGUAAAGCGCACGUAGGCGGCGCUGAAAGUUGGACGUGAAAGCUCCCGGCUUAACUGGGAGAGGUCGUUCAAAACUACAGGGCUUGAGGUUGGAAGAGGAGAGUGGAAUUCCCGGUGUAGUGGUGGAAUGCGUAGAUAUCGGGAGGAACACCAGUGGCGAAAGCGACUCUCUAGUCCACACCUGACGCUGAGGUGCGAAAGCGUGGGGAGCGAACGGGAUUAGAUACCCCGGGUAGUCCACGCCGUAAACGAUGGAUACUAGGUGUAGGAGGUUAUUUACCCCCUUCUGUGCCCGAAGCUAACGUGUUAAGUAUCCCGCCUGGGGACUACGACCGCAAGGUUA